rnacentral:misc_RNA from 1 species
CGGGCAAAUUGUGCUGCAUAAACCAGCACCUCAAAUUUUUCUUAACAUAAUAUUAAUUAUCCAACCGUAAAGAGGGAAAAAUGGUAAGGAAAUAAAGCCAAGAUUGCUAGAAGUUUCACCGGCAGCAGCUCUUCAUCCAAUAAGAAAAAUAAGUACCAGAUUGCACUUCCAAUACUGAUGCAGUUUCAUCCUACACAGCAUUAGCCUCAGAAAUUAUACUUGAUAAAUUAUGUUAUUGCAUUCUUGAAAAGAACUUCGCACAUAAAAAUUGGAUUUUGAGAGAGAUCCAUAGUGAGGUUAUGAAUUUUGAAUGAUCAAGUCUGUUCGGCUGACCCAACAACACGGACAGACAAUUGGAGAUUUUCUAAUCAAAUAUAUGCUUGUUUAUUCCGCAUACGUUCCUACAGACAUGGCAGCAUCGUUCAUUUCCUUUUUUUUUUAUGUCCUCCAAACUUGGGUUCUUCUCCACUUUUGGUCUUCUUCUCCAUCCAUGAUGACAUGACUUCACUUUAAGAAUCCAGCUAUCAAAACCCAAAAACAUCCCUAAAUUUUCUUUAUUUUACUUGUGUACAUUCAAUUCAACCCAACAUACAAGUAUUUUGUUCUUUCAAACAACUUAAUGGAAUUUUAAAGGAGUUUCAAUCCUCUCUCUCUUGAGUAGUUCCAAUUCAAUUCAUCAAAUAAAAAUGGGACAGCACAAACUGCUUCAUUCUGGUCAAUGACAAUUACAUGCAAAAAGGUGCAUUACCGCAGGAAGCUCAGGGCAAAUUUCAGUUGAGUUGAUGCAACCUUAUUAAUAAUUGCAAGCACCUUUGCUAUUCUGAUUAAAUAUCAACAAUGCCCAUGGCUUCUGCUCAUAGAAUGCCGUCUAAGGAGCUUUUGACCAGGAGUUUGAUGAUCAUCCUUGUAUAAUGAUGCUGCUGACUCGGAUUGUACUGUUUGAAUUGGAAUAUGAAGACAGAGAAAGCUACCAGAAAUGCAAAGGNGCGCAUCCAACGUCAGCUGCCACCCACAGAGUGCAUCUGCAUCAGCAUUGUUGCCAGAACCACGGCUACUACAACCAGCAGCAGCAACAUUUCCAUUCACCCAUGGACAGAACUGAUUGUGAUGAAUAAUUGGAUCAAACUCUAUAGCCUCUUCAUAGUUGCUUUCACCUUUUGGAGGCCCUAUCCCAUUGGCAAUAGCAUAAUCUGACUCCAUGCAUGGACAAUUGUUUGUAGAGGAUAACUUUCCAGCCUUGCUGACCCCUUUCUUAGUUGUUUGAUAGCCAGAGUACAUAUUUGCAUUGCAGGAAAGAGAAGGGCGGACAUUGCUAUCUAGAGCUAACUUGCAGCUUUGACUUGCUUCCUUUUCACCACUUUCAACAGAUUCAGCCUUUGCAGUAGAACCAUCUAUUUUUGAGCCACUAUCAGCCCUUUCUAUAGAUUGAGACAACAUCUCCUGGCUAUCACCAUGAGGAUCUUCCCUGUUUAUUUCAUCAGGAACAACCUCAUCCAUUAAUCCAGGAUCAGGGGCAGAUUCACCAGUCUGACCUUGAUUUUCAACAUCUUCUAUUCUGGGUUCCACAUCACCAACUACACUAUCAGUUCUAUGGACAGAAACAUCAGCCCCAUGAAUUUCAGCUUCAUGACUAGCACACAUGCCUACACUGCCUCCACUAAUACCAAAACUAGGACCAUCCCGAGCCUGAGCUGUGACUGUUUCUGCAUUGAAAAUCUCUUCACCAUCAUUUGUACUACUGACACCCAUUUCACCAGGAGCUACUGCAGCAGCACGUCUGAAACAAAUGCUUUGCUGGGCUUGAUUGCUGUAAUUCAGUUCAGACGUCUCAUUCAUGUCCAGAUUCCCGUACAUACUGGAAGAGGGGAAAUGAACAUCAUCAAUAUCUCCAGGGUAGUUUUCAACACUUUCCAUAGAAUCAUCA